rnacentral:rRNA from 1 species
AGCGAACGCUGGCGGCAGGCCUAACACAUGCAAGUCGAACGGAUCCUUCGGGAUUAGUGGCGGACGGGUGAGUAACACGUGGGAACGUGCCCUUUGGUUCGGAACAACUCAGGGAAACUUGAGCUAAUACCGGAUGUGCCCUUCGGGGGAAAGAUUUAUCGCCAUUGGAGCGGCCCGCGUCUGAUUAGCUAGUUGGUGAGGUAAAGGCUCACCAAGGCGACGAUCAGUAGCUGGUCUGAGAGGAUGAUCAGCCACAUUGGGACUGAGACACGGCCCAAACUCCUACGGGAGGCAGCAGUGGGGAAUCUUGCGCAAUGGGCGGAAGCCUGACGCAGCCAUGCCGCGUGAAUGAUGAAGGUCUUAGGAUUGUAAAAUUCUUUCACCGGGGACGAUAAUGACGGUACCCGGAGAAGAAGCCCCGGCUAACUUCGUGCCAGCAGCCGCAGUAAAAC